rnacentral:rRNA from 1 species
GACGAACGCUGGCGGCGUGCUUAAUACAUGCAAGUCGAACGGAAAGGCCCGGCUCUUGCGGCUUGCAUGUUAGCCGAGCGGGGGAGUAAAACGUGUGUAACACCUCCCUGUAUUUGGGGUAACACCUGGAAAAACGGGCGCUAAUCCCGUAUGAUCUCCUGAUGCGUAGGGGGGGAUGGAAAGAGUCGGCGGUUGGGGAUGGAAUCGCGGCAUAUCAGCUUGUUUGUGGGGUAGUUGCUUACCAAGGCUUUGACGGGUAGCCGGCCUGAGAGGGUGACCGGCCACAUUGGGACUGAGAUACGGCCCAGACUCCUACGGGAGGCAGCAGUGGGGAAUAUUGCACAAUGGGCGGAAGCCUGAUGCAGCAACGCCGCGUGCGGGAUGACGGCCUUCGGGUUGUAAACCGCUUUCGCCUGUGACGAAGCGUGAGUGACGGUAAUGGGUAAAGAAGCACCGGCUAACUACGUG